GACGAACCGUGCGAACGUUAUUCGGAAUCACUGGGCUUAAAGCGCGUGUAGGCGGGUCGCCACGUCAAGCGCUGAAAUCCCCCGGCUCAACCGGGGAACGGGCAUCGAUACGAGCGACCUGGAGCGAGGUAGGGGGGGCUGGAACUUCCGGUGGAGCGGUGAAAUGCGUUGAGAUCGGAAGGAACGCCCGUGGCGAAAGCGAGCCCCUGGACCUUUUCUGACGCUGAGACGCGAAAGCUAGGGGAGCGAACGGG
rnacentral:rRNA from 1 species